UUCUCCGCGCCCGACAGAGAGGGACGGCGGCCGGCGACCGGCGACCGGCGACCUGCUCGUCCUCCACAUUUCUUGCCGACGCGGUAGCGGCGCUCGCCGGCGAAGCGUGUGCUGGACUAGGUCCGCUGCGCUUCUCCGUCGAGCGUAGCUGCCGGCGCCGUGUUCGUCAGGGGCGGCGUGGUCUAGCGGUGACCGGCGCACGCUGCUCAGCGACCUGGGCAACGCACCAGGCACGGAGGGCGACGGCAGCGCGCACGGGGUGACGGCGGCGCGGCCGGCACGGAGGCCGGCAGCCUCUCCAUUAGUUCGGUGGUGUCCUCAGUACAUUCCGCGCGUCUCCUCAAGAGAGAUGACCGCGUGUGGCAUAAAGCUUAAGAGAUGCUGAAAAGCUUGGAGAAGAAGAUGAUCAUGGGCAGCAUGCCGGCACGACCCUCCUGGUUGUCGGUGGUGGUGGUCUUCGCGUCACUUCUGGCCUCCCUAGAUCGGUAGGGUGAGGGAAUGUCAGGGCAAAUCUAGCAGAUCGUGAAUUCAUCAACUCGUUGCUACAUGCCCCCUCUCCCUUAUAUAUGGCCAGUGUGAUAGGGGACCAAAACCACAUGUUGGUUAUCGAUGCCCCCGAUCAGGGCGUGUACGAGAAAAAGUCACGCAUGAGAAAAGGUCCUGGACGUUGUCCUGUGGGCCCAACUUUUUUAUCUUAACGUUAUGUUUUUGACUUU